AUACGAACCGGACAAACGUUAUUCGGAUUUACUGGGUUUAAAGGGUGCGUAGGCGGAUCAAUAAGUCAGUGGUGAAAUCCUGCGGCUCAACCGUAGAACUGCCAUUGAUACUGUUGGUCUUGAAUAUAGACGAGGUGGGCAGAAUGUAGUGUGUAGCGGUGAAAUGCUUAGAGAUGCUACAGAACACCGAUUGCGUAGGCAGCCCACCAGACUAUUAUUGACGCUGAGGCACGAAAGCGUGGGUAGCGAACAGGAUUAGAAACCCCGGUAGUCC
rnacentral:rRNA from 1 species